UGGGGAAUAUUGCACAAUGGGCGCAAGCCUGAUGCAGCCAUGCCGCGUGUGUGAAGAAGGCCUUCGGGUUGUAAAGCACUUUCAGCGGGGAGGAAGGCGAUAAGGUUAAUAACCUUAUCAAUUGACGUUACCGACAGAAGAAGCACCGGCUAACUCCGUGCCAGCAGCCGCGGUAAUACGGAGGGUGCAAGCGUUAAUCGGAAUUACUGGGCGUAAAGCGCACGCAGGCGGUUGAUUGAGUCAGAUGUGAAAUCCCCGGGCUUAGCCCGGGAAUUGCAUCUGAUACUGGUAAGCUAGAGUCUUGUAGAGGGGGGUAGAAUUCCAUGUGUAGCGGUGAAAUGCGUAGAGAUGUGGAGGAAUACCGGUGGCGAAGGCGGCCCCCUGGACAAAGACUGACGCUCAGGUGCGAAAGCGUGGGGAGCAAACAGG
rnacentral:rRNA from 1 species